rnacentral:rRNA from 1 species
UGGCGGCGUGGUUAAGACAUGCAAGUCGAACGAGAGAAUUGCUAGCUUGCUAAUAAUUCUCUAGUGGCGCACGGGUGAGUAACACGUGAGUAACCUGCCCCCGAGAGCGGGAUAGCCCUGGGAAACUGGGAUUAAUACCGCAUAGUAUCGAAAGAUUAAAGCAGCAAUGCGCUUGGGGGUGGGCUCGCGGCCUAUUAGUUAGUUGGUGAGGUAACGGCUCACCAAGGCGAUGACGGGUAGCCGGUCUGAGAGGAUGUCCGGCCACACUGGAACUGAGACACGGUCCAGACACCUACGGGUGGCAGCAGUCGAGAAUCAUUCACAAUGGGGGAAACCCUGAUGGUGCGACGCCGCGUGGGGGAAUGAAGGUCUUCGGAUUGUAAACCCCUGUCAUGUGGGAGCAAAUUAAAAAGAUAGUACCACAAGAGGAAGAGACGGCUAACUCUGUGCCAGCAGCCGCGGUAAUACAGAGGUCUCAAGCGUUGUUCGGAAUCACUGGGCAUAAAGCGUGCGUAGGCUGUUUCGUAAGUCGUGUGUGAAAGGCGCGGGCUCAACCCGCGGACGGCACAUGAUACUGCGAGACUAGAGUAAUGGAGGGGGAACCGGAAUUCACGGUGUAGCA